rnacentral:rRNA from 2 species
UACGUAGGGUGCGAGCGUUGUCCGGAAUUAUUGGGCGUAAAGAGCUUGUAGGCGGUCUGUCGCGUCUGCUGUGAAAAUCCGGGGCUCAACCCCGGACUUGCAGUGGGUACGGGCAGGCUAGAGUGUGGUAGGGGAGACUGGAAUUCCUGGUGUAGCGGUGAAAUGCGCAGAUAUCAGGAGGAACACCGAUGGCGAAGGCAGGUCUCUGGGCCACUACUGACGCUGAGAAGCGAAAGCAUGGGGAGCGAACAGG